GAUGAACGCUGGCGGCGUGCCUAAUACAUGCAAGUCGAGCGAACAGACGAGGAGCUUGCUCCUCUGACGUUAGCGGCGGACGGGUGAGUAACACGUGGAUAACCUACCUAUAAGACUGGGAUAACUUCGGGAAACCGGAGCUAAUACCGGAUAAUAUAUUGAACCGCAUGGUUCAAUAGUGAAAGACGGUUUUGCUGUCACUUAUAGAUGGAUCCGCGCCGCAUUAGCUAGUUGGUAAGGUAACGGCUUACCAAGGCAACGAUGCGUAGCCGACCUGUGAGGGUGAUCGGCCACACUGGAACUGAGACACGGUCCAGACUCCUACGGGAGGCAGCAGUAGGGAAUCUUCCGCAAUGGGCGAAAGCUUGACGGAGCAACGCCGCGUGAGUGAUGAAGGUCUUCGGAUCGUAAAACUCUGUUAUUAGGGAAGAACAAAUGUGUAAGUAACUAUGCACGUCUUGACGGUACCUAAUCAGAAAGCCACGGCUAACUACGUG
rnacentral:rRNA from 1 species